GUUCCUGUCUCCACACCUGAUACUGGUCGGCAAGACAGGAUCUUAAGGACAACACUGCUGUUACCCAUAUCCUAUUCCCUCAGGACCAGCAGAGUUCAGGAUUAUUGUGAGGCGGCCAGGAAGAGGCAGGUUAGAUGGACUGACAGCACCUUGACCUCAGACGGCUCCACCGCCGGCCGGCUGUGUGAUGUUGGCUGAUGGGUUGCCAGGCGUUAGAAACUUCUCCAAUCCUCACCACAUCUUGGUUCUACCGAAGUGGAAACUGAGGUUAAGAUUGCCUUCCGCUGGUCAACAGCACAGGUGGGAUUCGAACCUAUAUCCGGUUCCGAGUCGCUCGUGAGUUUACGCCACGCAGCUUCACUUGGACUGGCGAUUCGAGCCCUCGCAGGGCCGGCCACCACCUGAGCGGAGAGGGGUUGGGCUGAAUCGCCAAACGUUCCCUUUUUUUCCGUGCCGGGAAAGCUUUGAAAUUCUUAUUUUCAGGUAAACGAUUUUGGCGGCUCCCAGAGAAGGACGGAAACCAGACCCAGUGUCGGACUUCCGGCUUAUUACGGGAGAGCCCCUGGGGCGGGACGGGGAGGGCAACUAUUUCCCCCGAGCCCGGGGAGGCGGCGGCGGCAGAGCCGAGGCAGAAGCCCUUGCUCCUCGAUUUUUCCUCUUUGGAGUUUAUUCAUCUGCUCAGUCUGUCCUGUGGGGCCCACGUCUUCGGAAGUCCUGGUCGGAGGGGGAGGAGCGCGGGGGAGAAGACACACGGCCCUGCGCAGGGAAGAGGUAUGGCCAGAUGAUCCCCCAACUCUUUCACCCUCUCCAGGGGCGCCUCUCUGAGGUAGGGUCCUCCUAGCGGCUUGUGGGGAGCAGAGUGAGGGCAGGCUGGAAGCUGGGGCCUGGGGACCCCUGGCUGGGCAGGGAAGGGCUGGCAUCCGGCUCCCUGGCGACCCCGUCCCGAGCUCCCGCCUCAAGGUCACCCCGUGGAAGCCCCGACAGGCCACGAGUCCCUCGACACAGGUCCCAUUACAUAGUAUUUAUGUUUCAUUUUUCCCUCUCUCUUAUUAUUGACUCAC